rnacentral:rRNA from 1 species
AUUGAGCGCUGGCGGCAGGCUUAACACAUGCAAGUCGAGCGCCCCGCAAGGGGAGCGGCAGACGGGUGAGUAACGCGUGGGAAUCUACCCUGAACUGCGGAAUAGCUCCGGGAAACUGGAAUUAAUUCCGCAUAUGCCCUGAGGGGCAAAGGUUUAUCUGGUUUAGGAUGAGCCCGCGUUGGAUUAGCUAGUUGGUGGGGUAAAGGCCUACCAAGGCGACGAUCCAUAGCUGGUCUGAGAGGAUGAUCAGCCACACUGGGACUGAGACACGGCCCAGACUCCUACGGGAGACAGCAGUGGGGAAUAUUGGACAAUGGGCGAAAGCCUGAUCCAGCAAUGCCGCGUGAGUGAUGAAGGCCUUAGGGUUGUAAAGCUCUUUUACCCGGGAUGAUAAUGACAGUACCGGGAGAAUAAGCCCCGGCUAACUCCGUGCCAGCAGCCGCCGUAA